rnacentral:rRNA from 1 species
UACAGAGGGUGCGAGCGUUAAUCGGAAUUACUGGGCGUAAAGCGUGCGUAGACGGUUAUUUAAGUCGGGUGGUGAAAGCCCCGGGCUCAACCUGGGAAUUGCAUUCGAGACUGAAUAGCUAGGGUACGGUAGAGGGAAGUGGAAUUUCCGGUGUAGCGGUGAAAUGCGUAGAUAUCGGAAGGAACAUCAGUGGCGAAAGCGACUCCUGGACCAGUACCGACGUUCAGGCACGAA